CUUAGUUGAAGGUAGACGUGGGGAACUGAAACAUCUAAGUACCCACAGGAAGAGAAAGAAAUUCGAUUCCCUCAGUAGCGGCGAGCGAACCGGGAAGAGCCCAAACUAAGAAGCUUGCUUCUUAGGGGUGUAGGACUGAACAUUUGAGUUACCAAGAAAUGAAGUAGUUGAAUAAUCUGGGAAGAUUAGCCAAAGAGAGUGAUAGCCUCGUAAGCGAAACUUCGUUUCCUCAGUUCAGGAUCCUGAGUACGGCGG
rnacentral:rRNA from 1 species